CAAAGACAAUUUUCGCUGCAUAUGUAGAACAUUUUUUUAAAGGGGCAUGGAUUUGAGUGUCCAGACGGGAUUUACAGAAUGGAGAAUAAUGGCCAAACAGUGCAGAAAAUGACAAUUGAAAUAUAGAGAAGAAAAAAUAGGUUAAAUGAAAUAAGGAAAAGGGAAUUAUGAGAUGUUGAAGCAUAGAAAAUAGAAAUAAUGAACAUAUAAAAAAAGAGCCG
rnacentral:lncRNA from 1 species